CCUACGUGUGGCUGCAGUGGGGAAUAUUGGACAAUGGGGGGAACCCUGAUCCAGCGACGCCGCGUGGGUGAAGACGUAUUUCGGUAUGUAACGCUCUAUCAGCAGGGACGACAAUGACGGUACCUGCCUCAGAAUCCCCGGCUAACUACGGGCCAGCAGCCGCGGUAAUACGUAGGGGGCAAGCGUUAUCCUGAUUUACUGGGUGUAAAGGGAGCGUAGACGGUGCAGCAAGUCUGAUGUGAAAGGUCGGGGCCCAACCCCGGGACUGCAGUGGAAACUGGUGAACUGGAGUACUGGAGAGGUAAGCGGAAUUACUAGUGUAGCGGUGAAAUGCGUAGAUAGUAGGAGGAACACCAGUGGCGAAGGCGGCUUACUGGACGGUAACUGACGUUGAGGCUCGAAAGCGUGGGGAGCAAACAGGAUUAGAUACCCCUGUAGUC
rnacentral:rRNA from 1 species